rnacentral:rRNA from 1 species
UACGUAGUCCCUAAGUGGUUUCCACUUGUAUUGGGCCUAAAACACCUGUAGCUGGUAUAGUAAGUCCUUGGUGAAAUCAGUUCGCUCAACGAAUUGAAUUGCUAAAGAUACUGCUAUGCUUGGGGAAGGAAGACGUGAAGGGAAUUUUUAGGGUAGCGGUGAAAUGCGAUGAUCCUAAAAAGACCUCCAGUAGCGAAGGCGCUUCACGAGUACUAUCCCGACAGUGAGAGAUGAAAGCUGGGGGAGCGACCAG